rnacentral:rRNA from 1 species
GACGAACCGAGCGAACGUUGUUCGGAAUUACUGGGCGUAAAGAGCGCGCAGGCGGCUGGUCAAGUCCGAUGUGAAAUCUCCCGGCUCAACUGGGAAACUGCAUCGGAAACUGAUCGGCUUGAAGAUGGGAGAGGGUAGUGGAAUUCCCGGUGUAGUGGUGAAAUGCGUAGAUAUCGGGAGGAACACCAGUGGCGAAGGCGACUACCUGGCCCAUUCUUGACGCUGAGGCGCGAAAGCUAGGGGAGCGAACGGG